AGCCCGGGCGGAGCGGCCGUCG
rnacentral:snRNA from 1 species